rnacentral:ncRNA from 1 species
AUCUUCAGGGCAGGGUGAAAUUCCCGACCGGCGGUAAAGUCCGCGAGCGCAGCUGCGCAGGAUUCGGUGCAAUUCCGGAACCGACAGUAUAGUCUGGAUGGAAGAAGAUG